GACGAACGCUGGCGGCGUGCUUAACACAUGCAAGUCGAACGAUGAAGCCGGAGCUUGCUCUGGUGAAUUAGUGGCGAACGGGUGAGUAACACGUGAGUAACCUGCCCUUGACUCUGGGAUAACUGCUAGAAAUGGUAGCUAAUACCGGAUACGACCCUCGGAGGCAUCUUCAGGGGGUGGAAAGAAUUUCGGUCAAGGAUGGACUCGCGGCCUAUCAGCUAGUUGGGGAGGUAAUGGCUCACCAAGGCGACGACGGGUAGCCGGCCUGAGAGGGUGACCGGCCACACUGGGACUGAGACACGGCCCAGACUCCUACGGGAGGCAGCAGUGGGGAAUAUUGCACAAUGGGCGCAAGCCUGAUGCAGCAACGCCGCGUGAGGGAUGACGGCCUUCGGGUUGUAAACCUCUUUUAGUAGGGAAGAAGCGAAAGUGACGGUACCUGCAGAAAAAGCACCGGCUAACUACGUGCCAGCCGCCGCAGUAA
rnacentral:rRNA from 1 species